rfam:Ixodes scapularis strain Wikel colony gcontig_1107728898748, whole genome shotgun sequence.
GCAGUCGUGGACGAGUGGUUAAGGUGAUCGACUAGAAAUCCAUUUGGGUCUCCCCGCAUAGGUUCGAAUCCUGUCGACUGUG